rnacentral:ncRNA from 1 species
AAAAAAGCAAUGAUGAGGAUGAGUAAGUUAAUUACAGCCAUAAGAGAGGAGUGCCAGGCGGUGUAAGCAUUCCGGGCUAGUGUUUUCUGAAUACCACCUCUGAGCUCGCAUCUGAAUUAAGUAAGAAUGCGCGUUGACUGCGUUAAAGUUUUAAGUGGGUUUUUAUCAAUUUGGGUGGAACCACGGGAAUAAUACUCUCGUCCCUGCG